GUCUAUUCUGAAGACAAUACGUUUCCUUCGAAUUCCUUUCGCAAUUAGGAGCACUUUCUUUGGGGUCCAGCAUCUACAUUAAGCAACCAAAAGCACACAAAAAAUAUAGAAUAAUCCACAUUCCUUCAGGAGCUCAUAAUCCAGUUGAGGGUCAAGGUGCAUACCUAACAUGCUUAAAUAACAGUGUAAAGUAACGUGAGUGUGUUUAAACAACUACUCUAGAUGUGUGAAUGGGGUUCUACACCUAAAUUCUGAUGUGGGUGUUCCCCACAUAUCCAAGGAGCAAGCAGUUGUCAGGCACCAGCUGUUCAUCCUUCAGUGAACACAAGGCGGACAUUACCACCACUCCGGGCAUCGGAUUCCACAGUCUAGAGCGCUGAACAAGCUCUAGCGAUGCUGUUGCCAAGCCCUUCAAUUCCUUCACCUCUGCUGGCUUGCAUUCCACAUACCAUGAAACAGCCCAGCCUGAGAGUUACCCUACUCUGCUGCCUCGACUCCACACUUCGGCCGAAGGAGAAAAUCCCAGUGAAUCUGCAAGACAUUUGAAACAAUACUUGACUCUCACCAUCACCGUUGCUUCAAGACGCAUUCAGUCCUUAACGCUUUGUGAUCUGAUGUCCAUCUGGGCCACCCUCCUGAAGAAACGCUUCGUCAAGAAAUCUAAGGAAUUCCUGCUUUGUAAGCCCAGUGGACCCUUUCAAUUUUCAUCUGACAGUUCCUUUAUGCAACACGUAGCGCCGCUAACCACUCCUUCCUUUUGGAAACACUCUUCUUUGGCUCCCCAAACACCAUCGUCCUGCCCCUCUGACCACUCCGGCUCAGUCUCUUUCCCAGUGCUCCUCUUCCUCAGACCAACCAUGAAAAGCCCCUGGUACUCUAUCUUCUCUAAAGCGUCUUCCUGACUGAUCUCACCCAUAUACU
ensembl:lncRNA